UGAACAGAGGUGAGGCUUAAAAUUGGAACAAUCUGUCCUGUGAAAUUAAUGGAAUGCAAUUAGUGACUCAGAUGUAUGGCUUCAUAUCAGUAACUGAAGUUGGUUUCAUUUGCAGGCUCUUGGCAGUGCUUGAGAGAGACCACAACUAUUUUGAAGACCCUCCCCUGAGUGAUACCAAGCAUGGAAUAUUAAGUCUAUAAAUAGGAUCUAACAUCAGUUUUUUUUUUCUUUUCUUUGUACAAUUGCCUAAAUGGUUCAUUCCUAUCACUGAGAGUGGGUUGUAUGGUUGAGGAUCAAGUCUAGUGCAGGUAUGAAGGUGAAUGUUUGUUUUCCCAUGACUUAGUAGUCUGUAAAACUGAUUUGCUCACAAUCCUAAUGCCAAGGUCAUUGCAGCCAGGUUACUUCCAAACAUUGCGGCAGUUCUCCAGUGGACCAUACGCUCUCAUCGUUAACUCAAAUUCCACUGCGCUGACUGUCUCCAUUGAGAAUGUGAGAGAAAUCCAUCUGAAACGGCUAUCAGGCAAGUUUUCAUGCAGAUGCUUCUUAAUUGUUAUACUGUGUUUUCCCUCACCCCCUCCUUUUCUUUUCUAAUAAAUUGGUCUAUUGCUUGUUUAGGUAUGGCUUGAAUAGAACUCCUCAUUUGAAAGGUUUAUCUCGACUGCCAUCACAAAUGAUGAGAACACUGUUUACUACCAAGAAUUUGUGGCAUGUCGACAUGGUUCGGUUUUGACACAUUUACUACUGUGCUACUAGUGACCUUUUGAGGAUGGACUGAAUCAAUAGUAGAUGUCAUAGGUAUCACUUUGCGGAGCUGUCGGAUGCUGUGAGUUGUUAACUACAGCAACUCUUUCUCUUGGUGGCUGUGAGUGAACUUGAAGUGAGAGAGAAAUACUUAAAUGCAGAUUGUUAACCAACUCUCAACCCUUGAUCAUUGAAAGACUUGACCACCAUUAUCACCAUUUCUCUCCAUCUGUCGAGGCUCCUCAUUUUUGCGACAUGAGGCUUGCUAUUUAAUUCCAGACAUUGAUUUUGAAUUGGUCUUAUCGAAGAGCAUUUAAGUUUUGUAAUCAUUCAGUGGGUAAUAAAUAUAAAUUUACACUACACCGAAGCAGCCAACAACUGGAUUCAGUGAUAAAAUCCUUGCCUGGCGAAGUGUUUAACGGUUCAACCCAUGCAUGUGUUAUUAUACCCAAAUUGUGCAUUAAAGUUUAAUUAUUGACGUCAACCUUGA